rnacentral:rRNA from 1 species
UACAGAGGUCUCAAGCGUUGUUCGGAUUCAUUGGGCGUAAAGGGUGCGUAGGCGGCGCGGUAAGUCGGGUGUGAAAUCUCGGGGCUUAACUCCGAAACUGCAUUCGAUACUACCGUGCUUGAGGACUGGAGAGGAGACUGGAAUUUACGGUGUAGCGGUGAAAUGCGUAGAUAUCGUAAGGAAGACCAGUGGCGAAGGCGGGUCUCUGGACAGCUCCUGACGCUGAGGCACGAAGGUCAGGGGAGCAAACGGG